GGAGACACAAGAAUAAUUUCCUUGACCUGGGAGUUAAGACUGCCACCCAGCCACCUUGUGCUCUCCAUGCUGCUGAUUCAACAGGCAAAUAAGGAAGUUAUGGUGUGGGCUACAGUGAUUGAUCUGACUAACAAGAGGGAAAUUGCUCCACCAUGGGGGUGAGGGAGAGUACAUCUGGAAUACAGAAGUUCCCUUAGGACACCCUUAGUGUUCCCACACAUUGCGAUUAAGGCCAGUGGAAAACUACAAUAACUCAGUUCAGGCGGAACAACUCAUGGGGCAGAAUCUUCAAGGAAUGAAGAUUUGAGUCCUUCUACCAGGUUUUGCAGAGUGCCUCCAGAAAUAAAAGUGUUACAAAAGAAUCACUUCAGAAAACCUACACUUAGAGAGUCCAUUUGAAAAUUGCCCUAUUUGAAAUGAAGUGGAGAUCAGUAAUAACAAGGACUUCCCCAUAUAACCCAAGGUCCUACUGGGUUAGUGUGAUCUUCUGCGGAAGGCUGCAGCUGCUGUCAGGAGGCCCUCUGUCUACACUCCUCUCUGGAGAAGUGUCCCUUUUAAACUGAAGCAUAGUGAGAACAAGUGUAAAGCACAACACAGACGGAAGAUUGCACCUUAGCUCACUGCCCCGUGCACCCCGGUUACACCGUCUAAGAAAACACUCUGGAUUCAAUCCUUGGAAAAGUAGGUUUCCAGGAAGAUUUGUUUACUGAUCUUUCUUAAGGGAUUUGAUUUCCUGGAUUGGCAGGUGUCAUGUUGCUGGAGGAAGACAGUGGCUUAAAAGUAUUAUUGAAUAAAACACACAUUUUGUCUCCAUGAGGUCAUACAGCUGCUUGAGGUUGCUCGGAGAGUAAGAAGCAGAAUGAGAACUAGAACAGAAGCUCACUUUGGCCUGAAGGCUCAUGUGCUGAGCAUCUUCCCUUGUCUGUCUCCACCCCUAGCCUGGUGCCCAGCAUGUAGAAGACCUUCAUCCUAGAUGCAAUGGGAUUAAACUUGGAGAAAAUGGGAUUAAACUUGGACAAACACUACCUAUUUGGACUUGUGAUGAUGGCUUUCAAACUUCUUAAAGCAAUGAAGUAUUUUUUCCAGAAGAAACCUUACACAAGAAGCCCAGCACACUGAGUCAAGCAUAUGUAGGUGGAAGAUAUCUGGUUGAGACCAAGUAGAGAUAAACCUGUAGAUUCAACUGUGCCACCACAGUGAAUUCUAAGAAUCCACUGACUGUGAUCUGUAAGCUCCUACUCCACAGGAGGUCAGGGCACACAGCUUGAAACCGGAAGGCAGAAGAGUGACAGGGAAGGGUCAUGGACUCUGAAAUUAGAGCUAUCUGUGUUUUAAUACUAGUUCCAAUAGGCACAUGGUCUUGGAUAAAUGGUUUAAA
ensembl:lncRNA LINC02725 long intergenic non-protein coding RNA 2725